GAUGAAGAACGCAGCGAAAUGCGAUAAGUAGUGUGAAUUGCAGAAUUCAGUGAAUCAUCGAAUCUUUGAACGCACAUUGCGCCCCUUGGUAUCCCGCGGGGCAUGCCUGUUCGAGCGUCAUUUCACCACUCAAGCCUGGCUUGGUGUUGGGCGACGUCCCCUUUGGGGACGCGCCUCGAAACGCUCGGCGGCGUGGCACCGGCUUUAAGCGUAGCAGAAUCUUUCGCUUUGGAAGUCGGGGCCCCGUCUGCCGGAAGACCUACUCGCAAGGUUGACCUCGGAUCAGGCAGGGAUACCCGCUGAACUUAAGCAUAUCAAUAAGCGGAGGA
rnacentral:misc_RNA from 1 species